UCUGAAGAUGUGCUGUGCUCUGUGGGGA
rnacentral:piRNA from 1 species